rnacentral:rRNA from 1 species
UACGUAGGGUGCGAGCGUUAAUCGGAAUUACUGGGCGUAAAGCGUGCGCAGGCGGUUCGCUAAGUCAGAUGUGAAAAGCCCUGGGCUCAACCUGGGAACUGCAGUGGAUACUGAGAGGCUAGAGUGUGUCAGAGGAUGGUGGAAUUCCCGGUGUAGCGGUGAAAUGCGUAGAGAUCGGGAGGAACAUCAGUGGGCGAAGGCGGCC